rnacentral:lncRNA from 1 species
AGCUAUUACAUCAAAUGAGUGGCUUUGUGGGCAUACUUCCAACAUAAAGUACAGUAGAGUGGAAUGAGAGUUAUACCAUUAGAGGAAAUCUCCAAUAUCAGAUUUGCUAGGAAUCCUCGUCAAUGCAAAAGUUUAACUGCUAAAACCUGAAGGGGCGAAAAAUAAGGGUGAGUGGCCUAAAAAUAAUGUUUUAUAAAAACCUUUUCGAAAACAUUAUAACCCCUCAUCGUAAAACAAGUAUAGUUUCCACAAUAUAAGUACUACGUAUAGUAAGAAAAUACUUACCGUAGCCUGCAAUAUCUCAAGAAUUCGAUACGUCAUAAUAUUUUGUAAAUAAGUACAUGACAUUUGUAAUCCCAUAAUCUCGCAUAAGCAAACAUAUCAUAUAGAGUUCUCAUCAAUACAUGCUGACACACGAGUUCAUGCAGAGAUAUUCUGACAUGAAAAAGAUUGGGUGUAACAAUGAUAUACACUCUAGUACUACAAUCACGUGACGACUAGUGCUAUGCGCAGUACAUACAAGUCCUAAUUACCUAUAGCAAUCUAGGACAGGACUGGCACCUACAAUGGAUCCCAAGUGAGUGUACGGUGCGAUGUGCACAUGCACGUGAAAGACUGGACCUGACCUGAGCGAGUACUAACAUCGGUGUAGCAAACAAUGAGCAGACACCACAAAUAUAGUCAUGCCACAAUGAUUGAAUAAUUCAAGUCAACAUAAUAUUAUCCAUAGUCGUAAUUCUAAUUGAGGCAUCCCGUAGGAUUUAUAAUGAUUUCCUAAUUCUCUUCAUUACAUCAUUUCCUACAAAUGUCAAUUUAAUUACGGCAGUCACAUAGAAAAUUCAUUACUAGAUGUAUAUAUGGAAACUAAAUAAAUAUAUGUAUAUAUCAAAGAAAAGACCCACUCAUAAAUCAUGUCAUCAAGUCGGACCCGCCUCAUGGGUAUCGAAGAUCCUUCCAAUGUGUUUCAUCUGGAAACGAAACUAUUUACAUAAAUAUAACGUACUAACAUAAUCACGCAUUUUCUUACAAAAUACGACUAAUAAAGAAACUAUUUUAAAAUUGUUGAAUUUCGGAAGAUGGAUGGCAGAUUCAGAUUCGACAUGUCGAGAAACCUAAGGAGGGACCUUGGGUUCCUCCAUGCACUGCCAUAAUGUGGCUGCACUGGCAGCCACGCGCCACCACAAUGUGGCUUCCCACGUGCCUGCGAGUACGUUUCUUAACCAAAUUCAGUGACACAAAAUUCAACUUAAGCUAGAAAUGUAAGGAAUCGAUUUGUACAUAUUGAAAGCCCAAUCGUGGUCGGUGUUGGCUGGGAAUUUGAUUUGAAAGUGGUCGGAUGGCCACAAUUCCUAGUUUUCUAGAAAUCUAGAAAAUCCUCCCCCUCGUCCGAUCCGCACAAAUCUUUCCCCAAAUCACAUACAAAGGUUAAAAACAAUACCAAAACAUGUCAAAAGGAAAAAUCAAGAGAAUUUUGAGACUUACCAUGGUUGCACAGUGCUUCUGUGCACAGAGAAUAGAGAGGGUUGACUGGAAUGCCUUUCGGCAUAGAGGGGUGAAUAUGGAAUCACAGUCAUAGUAGAUACUGAUCAAAACGUCAGAAAAUUCGACAAAUUCAAGAAUGAGUAAUUUUACUAAGUGGUCAAAAAUGUAGUCCCUCUGGACCAAUGGAAAGUGGGGUAAUUUGUCAAGUCGAUCUAUAAUCACCGAAACAUCAUCAUAAUCUCCACAUAUACAAGAAAUCUCGUACCGAGAGCUUAUGGUGAUAUUUUCACAUCUCUAAUUGGAUACAUGAAGUGAUUAUAACCACUCGAACGAAUUCUUGAUGAUUUUUAAAUAACAUCAUAUCAAUACCUGAUAAUUCCAACUUAAAUGGAAUAGGACAGGCUGAAAGUGUUCGAAGGUAAUUCUGUCUUUUGCUGCAAUAAAUAGUAACUACGUUUGCACAACUGGGGUG